rnacentral:rRNA from 1 species
UACGUAGGGCGCAAGCGUUGUCCGGAAUUAUUGGGCGUAAAGAGCUCGUAGGCGGUUUGUCGCGUCUGCUGUGAAAGUCCGAGGCUCAACCUCGGAUCUGCAGUGGGUACGGGCAGACUAGAGUGUGGUAGGGGAGACUGGAAUUCCUGGUGAAGCGGUGGAAUGCGCAGAUAUCAGGAGGAACACCAAUGGCGAAGGCAGGUCUCUGGGCCACAACUGACGCUGAGGAGCGAAAGCAUGGGGAGCGAACAGG